rnacentral:rRNA from 1 species
AUCCUCGGAAUGUUAAGGCAUAUUCGAACGGAGAUCAGCACAUCUCCGAAAUCUAUCCUUUCUUGUGAACAAGACAAUGUGGUGUUGAAGCUUGUACCUGGGAGCGCUUGCCUACUCGAAGUCCGACUCCGAUUACGGCUAGGACUAUGCCCACAGCGGGUGAAAGGCCCGUACGGGUAGGCUGUGUUGUUAUUAAGUGCUCCCCAGAUGUGCAUGCUUUCGAGUCGGAUUGCUUGAGAAUGCAGUCCAAAGUGGGUGGUAAACUCCAUCCAAGGCUAAAUACUGGCACGAGUCCGAUAGUAGACAAGUACCGUGAGGGAAAGUUGAAAAGUACUCUGAAGAGAUUGGAAAGUACCCGC